rnacentral:rRNA from 2 species
AGGUGCCAUCAUAUCAGCACUACUGCACUAGAUCCCAUCAGAACUCCGCAGUUAAGUGUGCUCGGGCGAGAGCAAUACUAGGAUUGGUGACCUCCUGGGAAGUCCUCGUGUUGCACCUC